rnacentral:rRNA from 1 species
GAUGAACGCUGGCGGCGUGCCUAAUACAUGCAAGUCGAGCGAACGGACGAGAAGCUUGCUUCUCUGAUGUUAGCGGCGGACGGGUGAGUAACACGUGGAUAACCUACCUAUAAGACUGGGAUAACUUCGGGAAGCCGGAGCUAAUACCGGAUAAUAUUUUGAACCGCAUGGUUCAAAAGUAAAAGACGGUCUUGCUGUCACUUAUAGAUGGAUCCGCGCUGCAUUAGCUAGUUGGUAAGGUAACGGCUUACCAAGGCAACGAUGCAUAGCCGACCUGAGAGGGUGAUCGGCCACACUGGAACUGAGACACGGUCCAGACUCCUACGGGAGGCAGCAGUAGGGAAUCUUCCGCAAUGGGCGAAAGCCUGACGGAGCAACGCCGCGUGAGUGAUGAAGGUCUUCGGAUCGUAAAACUCUGUUAUUAGGGAAGAACAUAUGUGUAAGUAACUGUGCACAUCUUGACGGUACCUAAUCAGAAAGCCACGGCUAACUACGUG